AUUGAACGCUGGCGGCAGGCCUAACACAUGCAAGUCGAGCGAGCGGCGGACGGGUGAGUAAUGUAUGGGGAUCUGCCCGAUAGAGGGGGAUAACUACUGGCAACAGUAGCUAAUACCGCAUACCAUCAGAUGAACCCAUAGGGGAUUAGCUGGUAGGUAAGGUAACGGCUUACCUAGGCGACGAUCCCUAGCUGGGCUGAGAGGAUGAUCAGCCAAACUGGGACUGAGACACGGCCCGGACUCCUACGGGAGGCAGCAGUGGGGAAUAUUGCACAAUGGGCGCAAGCCUGAUGCAGCCAUGCCGCGUGUAUGAAGAAGGCCUUCGGGUUGUAAAGUACUUUCAGUCGGGAGGCGUUACCGACAGAAGAAGCACCGGCUAACUCCGUGCCAGCAGCCGCGGUAAUAC
rnacentral:rRNA from 1 species